UACGGGGGGGCAAGCGUUGUUCGGAAUUACUGGGCGUAAAGGGCUCGUAGGCGGCCAACUAAGUCGGAUGUGAAAUCCCCAGGCUUAACCUGGGAACUGCAUCCGAUACUGGAUGGCUUGAAUCCGGGAGAGGGAUGCAGAAUUCCAGGUGUAGCGGUGAAAUGCGUAGAUAUCUGGAGGAAUACCGGUGGCGAAGGCGGCAUCCUGGACCGGCAUUGACGCUGAGGCGCGAAAGCCAGGGGAGCAAACGGG
rnacentral:rRNA from 1 species